GAAAUAAGAGUAGAGAUGGAUAAAGUUCCCUCUGCAAAAUUGCAAUGAACAAGCACAAGAUUAACACUCAAACACAAGUGGAUGCAUGACUGUGGACUGCUUAAGUUUAGUUAGGAAGCAUUAGAGUUUAGAGACUAAAGAAGCUUAUAAUUUUCCACCUGCAUUUCACAUGACAGGAAGAAAUUUGUAACAAGAUUUCGCCGCAAAAGUGCAAGAUUUUGUUUAGAAGGCACAAAAGUGCAUGAUUUUCAGCCAUUAAUUUUAUUUGAUUAACAGGAUCACCCAACAGCAAAGCUCUUUUUGAAUUAGGUUAAUUUUAUUUCAGAACAUCUGAGCAUGGGAAGCACUUAUUCUUGGCAGAUCUCUAACUAUACAAAGAAGACCUCAGCCCAGCCGUGUGAAAUAGUAAAAGUAGUGGCAUCUCUUGGCAAAAGGGUGAAAAGAAGGAUGAGAAUCCAAAUUGCAGAUAGUUAUUAUCUGGGUGCCUUUGGGCCAACCAUUUGGCAGCCACCUAAGUAUGUUGCUAACAAUGGAAUAUAAUACUUCUACAUGUAAUCAGCUGAAAAAGCUAUCUUGGGAAGUCAAAAUGCAUUGUAUACAGGGAAAGUUCUUGGAUUAUAUAUGGGAAUCCUUUUUUCCCCUUUUCUAGGUCCAUGAAUACUAAAAAAGUACUUAUCAACUAGCAUUCAAAGUGUUUAAAGUAACUUUUAAAAGUUAGUAAGGACGGAAAUAUUCAGAUGGUGACUAAUUGAGUAUCAACACUACUAAAGCCAGACCUUUUUAGUCUAAGAUAAUUUGCAGAUUAAUGUAAGAGCCUAACCAAGUGAAGGGGGACAACCAAAAACUGUAGAAAUUUCACGAAAUCAUGUCAGUUCCUAGAUUUCCUUUUGUCUAAAUGAGGAUCCCUUCAAGAUCUUAUCCCUCUUCUUUUUUUUCUUUGUUCCUUUAAUUUUUCUUUUCAAACUUUAAUUUUCAUCUUCUGUGCUUAUGCAUCCCUUUUUUUUCAUAAGGUAAAUAAUUUUAGUAAUAUUGGAAAAGCUCAUCAAAACAUGAUUCUCUACAAAAGACACCCAAUCAUCUAUACAAAUAGGAAUCUCAUGGGAGCACCAAAAAGCAAUCAAAGACAACCAGGUUAUUCCUCAGAUAUAAAAAAGAAAUUCAAAUGAUAAAGGUUUUUGUUGAUUUGUAUUAUCCGAUUUUGAUCAGAUGGGAUCAAAUCAAAUAAGUUAGGAGAGUUUCAGCUUUUUAGAGAUUAGGUUCAAAUUAGACGACUGUAAAGUUAUCUCCGUAUGACCUAUAGGUCACGGGUUAGAGCCGUGAAAGCAGAGCCACUAAUGCUUGCAUUAAGUUACGCUGUCUACAUCACACCCUUGGGAUGCGGCCCUUCCCCGGACCCUGCUAACACGGGAUGCUUUGUGCACCGGGAUGCCCCUUUCAGAUUUAAAUUAGACUUAUCCCUUUAAUUCUGGACUAUAUAGAAUCAAGCAAUCAUUUUUCUUUUUUAGUGAUUUGUUUUCUCCAUACACUUUGAGUUAAUAGAAUAUACUAUUCCGCCACCAACACUUUCAUGGUAUCAGGGCAGUAGCCUUUUUUCAUCUGUUCAUGGCUAAGGCAGCCUUUAUGAGCAUGAACCCCAGCGGCAACAACAGAAGCCGAGAGUUCUGUUAGUGCAGUCCCUAGCGAAACAACCAUGAUUUAAAGCAGCAAUUCAUCUCAUUUAUCCUUUUGACUAGCGUCCCAUAGGUUGAAUGGCCAAAAAAGUAUCUGUAGAGGGCACAAUAUGUCACCGGUUAGCGAUUGACGUCCGAGGAAAACUUGGGCACUUGACUGGUGAAAUCAGGAAACCUGAACUGGAGAUCCAAAGAUAAACGCCUAGAGGUCCGAGAACUCAUUGGUGAGAUUGUGUGGCUUCUAAACUGUACGGAACCAAACAAUAGGUAAACCCUAUUUAUUUUUGCCUACUGCAAGAGAUGUAUGGAGUUUGUUAAAGAAACAUAUUCUGAUGUAGAAAAUGCUUCUCAAAUUUUUAAAUUAAAAAUUAAGAUUUGAAAGGCUAGGUAGUGAGAGAGAGAGAGGUGACCAUCUAUUACAAUGAAAUAGUUUCAUUACGGCAAGAGCUAGAUCAAUGCUACAAUGAUGAAUGAGGAUGUCCGACGGAUAGUGUAAAAGCAAUGAAGAGAAAAAAGAAAAUCAAAAAGUUUAUCUAUUCCUAGCAAGACUAAACCGAGAAUUCGAUGAAGAUCCGGAUCCUUGGAAACAGGGGCAGACGCACGUCGGGGCAAGUGGUGUCAUCCAACACCGUUUGCCGAGAAACUUUUAUUAUUAUAUAUAAAUAUAGCCUGCGCAUCGAAACAGUAAUAAUAAAAUAUAAGUGACACUGCUUGUCAACACGGGCUCUGCUGGCGCGCUGGUUAAGGUCAUCUAUUUUAUCAUUUUUAGCUUUCUUCGGAAGAAAAGUUAUUGUAGCCAGUAGGUUUCGAUCCCUCGACUCUGCCUAAAAUGGAGUAGCAAAACCAAAUGGACCAGCAUCUCUUACAUUAGUUUGACUGCCAGAUACUUUAUUUUGCUCUUUACCUCAGAGUAUCUAAAUGUUGAGAUGUUUUCUCGGCGAUGAAGUUGAUUAAGAUUGACUUACGGAAUUUAAUGGAUAAUAAGCUUUUGAGUGGUUGUUUGUUGUCUUAUAUAGAAAACGAAGUAUUUAGUAAUAUUUUGAAUGAUUCUAUUAUGGAUGCAAAACUCGUCGAGGAGAGUUAUAAUAUUAUACUUGAAUUGUGUUUUUCUAAAUCAUGGUGUUGUUACAUUGAUCUAUUCAUUUAUUCACUUCUUUAAAUGUCGACACUGCUUACGAAAAAUCCUGCGUACGCCACUGCUUGGAAAAAAACCCUUACCUUCUUUGCGCAAGACAUACUCAGAAAGAAGAAGAGAAGAAGCCAGGAGAUGGCAUGUUGAAAUCAGAUCCUAAUCAAGAUUCAAAAUGAAAAGAUUCUUCUGCAAUGGUGGCUGCAAAAGGAGAUGCUGACAUCAUGGCAGCCAAGCAUUCCGAAUAACCAACAAAGAGCAGGGGCACCGGUUGAACUUCAGAGGUGUCUCCGUUCACUAAGGAGCAAUUAGAACUCUUGCACAAGCUUCUCCAAAAUCAACUCCAACCCAGUAAACCAAGUUGUUUCAAUCCCUCUUCUUCUUUUUAGAACAAGGUCUCGAGGAGGAGGAUUGGCAAUGCUAAAGAGUCGGAGGUAUUUAGAAGCGGAAUUGCAAAAACAGUUGAAAACAAGGAAUUUUGAAGACAAGGCACUGUGUUGCACUUGUACGGACCGUCAACAUGCUCGACGGUCCGUCAAGUUGGUCGUCGAAUUGCACUGAGUGAAAUAUCAGAGACUGCCAUAUAUUGAUGUAAAACAACGAGAAGGUCAACGGACCGUCAACAUGAUCGACGGUCCGUCGAUGUACAAGGACGGUGGAGUUUCUGUAGCAUGAAAAUUGUCAUCAGAUUGUCGAAGUGCAUCGUUGACAUUCGACGGUACCGUCAAUGUGCAAAGACGGUCCGUCGAGUUGCAAGCCGACCUGGAACUGGAUUGGGAUUAAUUAUUCCGAGUUUAACUUGUAUAAAUACCAAAUACCUGUUUAGGUUUUAUUUUUCAGACAUCUGGAGUUUUAGACUUGUAGUAAUUACUUUUGGGUUUUUAGUACAAUUGAAGAUUUUCCAGACAAUUACAUUCGUUUACUUUCAAGUUUAUUCGUAAGUUUAAUAAAAAAUUCAAUUAUGCAACCUUCAAUCUUUUAUUGUUUUCUUGUUGCCAUGAGUAGCUAAACACCUUUACUAAGGUUGUGAACCCAAGGAUGGGUGUUUUGUGAUUGGGGAUUGUGAUUGAUAUACGCAUAAUGGAUUGUUAGGGUUUAUUUGUUCUUCGUUUUCAUCAUAUAGUUAGUGGUUGCAAACAUUAGCUAACGCCAUAAACUUUGGUUUAUUUGGGAAAAUAACUAGGGUUA